UACAGAGGGUGCAAGCGUCAAUCGGAAUUACUGGGCGUAAAGGGUGCGUAGGUUGUUAAAUAAGUUAGAUGUGAAAGGCCUGAGCUUAACUUGGGAACUGCAUAUAAUACUGUUUAACUAGAGUACUGUAGAGGGUAGUGGAAUUCCUGGUGUAGCGGUGAAAUGCGUAGAUAUCAGGAGGAACAUCAGUGGCGAAGGCGUCUACCUGGACAGAAACUGACACUGAGGCACGAAAGCGUGGGGAGCAAACAGG
rnacentral:rRNA from 1 species